CAGCAGCCGCGGGAAUACGAAGGGGGCUAGCGUUGCUCGGAAUGACUGGGCGUAAAGGGCGCGUAGGCGGCGAUCAAAGUCAGGCGUGAAAUUCCUGGGCUCAACCUGGGGGCUGCGUUUGAUACUUGAUUGCUAGAGUGGGGAAGAGGGUCGUGGAAUUCCCAGUGUAGAGGUGAAAUUCGUAGAUAUUGGGAAGAACACCAGUGGCGAAGGCGGCUCACUGGACCGACACUGACGCUGAGGCGCGAAAGCGUGGAGAGCAAACAGGAUUAGAUACCCCUGUAGUCCCUGUCUCUUAUAA
rnacentral:rRNA from 1 species